GGGAAGGGUUCAGACUAACACGCUGGGAGCCUGCUGCCAAGGCUGGAGGUGUGUGGAGGCUUGCUCUGAAGGAUUUCGAGGCUUCUUGAUGAACACAGAAACCAUAGCCCCUUGGAGAAGCUCUGCUGAGGAGAUCUUUCUAGCCUUUGUCUGCUCGCCCCUCGCAGCUGGUCUGCUCUCUGUGGAUCAUCGGGAGUCAACUUUUCUAUGUGUUUGCAUUGCAAGUGACAUCUGGCUGACAGGAACUUGGAGAAAUGGAAUCCGAAGUGAAUGCUGCAGUUACCACAAGCCUCAUAUUUAUCAAAAGAUGCAGAAACAGAGAUGGAAACAUGGAGACCAUUGUGAAAUCUUCAAUAAAAAUACAGGUGGCCCUUGUUCAUUUCCUGAAAUGCGAAAUUUCAAUAAACUAGAAAAAUGGAAAGCAUUAGCCUGAUCUCCUGGAGAAAAAUGCUGUGUAUAUUUAUUUACAGUAGUUUUGAAUGUCUCUUUCAGUUUUGAUAACAGCAUAUUGGUAAUCUGCAAAUAUACAAUUAUAUUAAAAAUACCAUAUGAUCUCUUUUAAAUAAAAAAAUGCAAUGUUACUACUGGAUUUCCUAUGUAUUUAAACUAUUAAUAUGCAUAGUUGCUAAUGAAUUUAUAAUAAUCUGAUUAAUUUCAAUACCAUAAGUUAGCCUUUAUUCUAUUGGAAAAUUUGCUUUCUUCUCUAUUAUCUCUUGGUCAACACUGUGCUAGUAUCUCCUAAGAAAACAACAUUCAGGAGAGGAAGAUGACCUUCCAGGAGUGAGAUUUCAUGGCAUCAGGAGAUAUAAAGAAAGCAAGUAGCACUUAUUUGGAGUCUGCCACCAGGCUACAUUCUUUACAUGAGCUUUUUGCUUUACUGUCACAAAAUUCUGACUCAAGUGUGAUACAAGGAGGUAGGCUAUAGACUCAUCACAGUUGGGUACUUGUUCAACACUCAGCUUUGUCCAUAUGGGUGAUUCCCAAAGAUUAGUUUACCCUGCUGAUUCUCGGCAUCCUCACUUAUGAGUCAGGGUGAUACUAUCAUUCAUUUAUUUCAUAAUAUAGAAGAGUUGUUAAGAGAAGGUAUCCUGGUGGGCUUGAAGGAUCCAAAAGAAGUGUGACAAGGCAAGUGUCCUGUCUUUGAGGUAUUUAUGGUCCACAAGAAGAGGGAACAUGGAGGUGGUUUCCGACAGGUACUGGGGGUGACACAUUCUUCCAGGUUGAACUACCUUUCUGAUGAGAGUAAAAUGAUGAGAACUUUUGCUAGUCUCCUGCUAACCAAGCAGCUCCCGUGUCCUCUUACCUGCUAUGCUGAAUCCUACAAGCUAGUUUCAGUCCUCAUGCCUAGAAGAAUAAGUGUCUGCCCACAGCCUGGCAGGUACUUACCUAGGUACUUAAGUGCUUAAGAUAGACCACAGGUGACUGGAAUCUUCCAGGCUUCUUCCUUUUACGUGACCCAGCAGCCUUUGUGAGCAGGUGCUCUUUUAUCCAUCAGUGUCUACCUCUGGCACUAUGUUUUAUAACUUCAUUAAUCUGAAUAAAACUAUAGCUAGACUGCCUAAGGUGGGGGUGUUACAAGUGGACUAUAUUGUUAAGAAAUGCAGAAAACUACUGUGUAAUCAAAUUUUGGGCUUCCAUAUAUUAAGCCCCUCUCUAAUAAAACUUCCCAAAUCUAAAAUCAAAAUCAGAAUGCUCAGAGCUAAUGACAGCCUCAAAUGUUUCUCAUUUACCUACUACAAUGCUUCUGGCACCAUUAGAACCUCCAUUUUGAACCAGGAAGAUAAUUUGAGCCAAUUUUUACUCUCUCUCAUUUAUUAAAACUUUACCAAAAUGUAUUAUUUAGUUUCAUCAAAUGUAGAAGAGCAAAUGUAUUUUAAAAUGGAGCUUACAGACUUCAAUUUCAAAACAAAGAAUCUAUCCUUCCUGCUUUCUGAUGUAAUCAUAGAGUGUUGUAUCAGUUAGAUAUUGCUAUAGAACUGCUGCAUAACAACACUUUCAGAAAGUAGGUGGCUUGAAACAAUGAUUUAUGUAGCUUUUCAAUGCUGACUUCACUGGGAUUCCUCUAGCUUACCUGUCCAAAGCUAGUGUUGUUCUGCCCCAGGUGUCCUUUAUCAUCCUCUUGAAGCCUAUAUGCUGAUUUAGUUACAUCCUUCUCUGAAUUUUCACAGCUAGUCAGGGGCAGGCAGAGGAAAAAACUACCUCUGGUCUUUUCAUUCUGGUUUUGGUGUAUUUUAUUACUACUAUGGAAUUAAGUUUCGAAACUUCUCUUUGUAAAAUUUACAAACAAGAAAAAAAAUAAAUACUCAUCUUAUUUAA